rnacentral:rRNA from 1 species
CCCUUAGAUGUUCUGGGCCGCACGCGUGCUACACUGAGUGGAUCAGCGGGUCAGGUUGCGCGAAGCGUUUCCUAAUCUUUAAAUCCGCUCGUGAUGGGGAUUGACGGUUGCAAUUUUCUGUCAUGAACGAGGAAUACCUUGUAAGCGCGGGUCAUCAUCCCGCGCUGAAUACGUCCCUGCCCUUUGUACACACCGCCCGUCGCUCCUACCGAUUGAGUGGUCCGGUGAGGCUUUGGGAUCUGAGCGGAAAGAGCGUUUCGCUGUUUCUGCUCGGAAAACUCAGUCGAACCUUAUCAUUUAGAGGAAGGAGAAGUCGUAACA